UACAGAGGUCCCAAGCGUUGUUCGGAUUUACUGGGCGUAAAGGGUGCGUAGGUGGUCGGGUAAGUCUCAUGUGAAAAUCUCCAAGCUUAACUUGGAAAUGGCAUGGGAUACUAUUCGGCUAGAGGAUUGGAGGGGGGGACUGGAAUUCCCCGGUGUAGCAGUGAAAUGCGUAGAUAUCGGGAGGAACACCAGUGGCGAAGGCGACUACCUGGCCUGUUCUUGACGCUGAGGCGCGAAAGCUAGGGGAGCAAACGGG
rnacentral:rRNA from 1 species